rnacentral:rRNA from 1 species
GAUGAACGCUGGCGGCGUGCCUAAUACAUGCAAGUCGAGCGAACGGACGAGAAGCUUGCUUCUCUGAUGUUAGCGGCGGACGGGUGAGUAACACGUGGAUAACCUACCUAUAAGACUGGGAUAACUUCGGGAAACCGGAGCUAAUACCGGAUAAUAUUUUGAACCGCAUGGUUCAAAAGUGAAAGACGGUCUUGCUGUCACUUAUAGAUGGAUCCGCGCUGCAUUAGCUAGUUGGUAAGGUAACGGCUUACCAAGGCAACGAUGCAUAGCCGACCUGAGAGGGUGAUCGCCCACCAUGAAACUAGGACCGGCCCCCAACCCCUAGGGGGGGCAGCAGAAGGGAAUUUUCCGAAAGGGGGAAAAGCCUGAAGGAGCACCGCGGCGGGAGUGAGGAAGUUCUUCGGAUCUUAAAACUUUUUUAUUGGGAAAAAAAAUAUGUGUAGAAAACUGUGCACAUUUUGAGGGGACAUAAUAAGAAGGCCACGGCUAACUAGGUC